AUGACCAUGAAGUUGUUGGUGGACACCAAGGCCCAACGCGUGGUCUACGCGGAGGCCGGCAAGGACGUCGUCGACUUCCUCUUCUCCCUCCUCACCUUGCCGCUCGGCACGGUCGCCGGCCUCCUCAACCCGGGCUCCAUGUUUGGCAGCGUCGGCAACCUCCACUCCAGCGUCGGCAACCUCCACUCCAGCGUCACCAACCUCGACGACGCUUACAUGUGCCGCGACGAUGCCAAGGCCGCCCUGCGCACACCGGCCGGUCGCAAGCUUCUCCAACCGGCGCCGGCGGAGUCCGGUGACGGCGGCGUGGCGUCUCGCGCUGCUGCAUCUGGAUUUGUGCAGGGGGUCGUCACGUGCACGGUGAGGGACGGUCUCAAGGUCACGCCCGUGUCAGCCAUCUCCGGGAUCACGCUCCUCAAAUCCUUGGGCAUCAAGGACAUCGCCUCGCUCCAGGAGAAGACGGUGCAGCUUGCCCACGCCGAGGUGACAAAUGACUUGCUAAUUCGUCAAAAAAUUUAA
rnacentral:rRNA from 1 species